CAAAAAAAUGAACCGAUUCAAAAUACCAUCUCAAGAAUGAAAAUCAGGUACCACAUUGGGGCUGUUACUUCAAUCCCGAGAUGUCUUCAAUGAAAUAAAAAAUUAAAUUGUUACCGAUAAAAACCUCAAAACCUCUUUUUUCCAAAAGGCCACCAUCCCUUUUGCAAAUGAGAACGAGCCGCUCGUCUUCAGGUGGACGACGAGAAGGUGACGCUGCUCACUCUGGGAAUCCGCUCUUGCCUCUGAAGUCAGAACUUCAUUGCAGCUCCUCACUCCGGGAAGCCGCGCUUGCCCUGCUGUUCGCUACUCCCCUUCUACCCCUGAAGCCAUCUGAAAUCGCUGCUUGGAGAUUGCUGGACGACGACGAGAAAAAGGUGACGUUCAACAGUCAACCCAGAUCCUCCUUUCAGAAGAAGGUAAUAUAUUUAUUGACAUGCAAUUGGUAGAGCCGAUUUACACUUCAGCAUUCAAGCUAAUAUUCCUAUUGAUACACCACAUACACUCUUGGACUAGUCAAUAGUCGAGUGGUCGAGCAUACUACACACCGAGCACAUGGACCAGCCAUUAGUCGAGUGGUCGGGCAUACAACACAUUAUCCCUAUGGGCCAAUCAAUGGUCGGGUAGCCAAGGCAUCUCAAGCACACUUCCUAUGACCAAAUGCAUUAGCUCUUUGGUGGGGUAGAUUCCAAUGGCAACUUGUCAGAUUAUCAGAGUUUUUGAUACGGUGAAGCAAUUUUGGAAAAGAAGGCAUUUCAUCCCCAAUGAAAUGUCUUAUUCUGUAAUGGGGAGUGGGUAUAGUGAAUCACCUUCAUUGUUGCGGUUUAUGACUACAGGUAGGCGGGUUCAGGACAGAAGCAAGAAAAAGAGGGUGCAUGAUCUAGAAAUAGCAACAGAGAAGUUGAAGUUAGCCUCAAAGAUUUUGUUUCUUAUGGAAGUUUUGAAGAGAGAACCUGAGCAAGUCAUUCCUUUAAGAUCAUUGGAACAGUACAGAAGGCAUAUUAACCUGCCAAAGCCCCACAAGAUAUCGGACUUCAUACGGAAAUCACCGAAGCUGUUUGAAUUGUACAAAGAUAACAAGCGAGUUAUAUGGUGUGGAAUGACCAAGGAAGCUGAAGACUUGGUGGAAGAGGAAGCAAAGAUCUUGGAGGAGCAUGGAGAGAAAGCUGCUGAGCAUGUUACCAGGCUCUUGAUGAUGACAGUGGAUAAGCGGCUUUCCAUGGACAAGAUUGCCCACUUCCGGAGAGACUUUGGCCUACCUUAUGAUUUCCAAACCAGGUGGGCCUACAAGUACCCCCAAUACUUCAGGGUGGUUAAAUCUGAGGAUGAUGUUGAGUAUUUGGAACUUGUCUCCUGGAAUCCAACUUGGGCUGUAACAGAACUAGAGAAGAAAGUGGAUGGGGUAAUUGAGUCUAACCCUCCCACCCCAGGGUUGCUCACACUUCCAUUUCCCAUGAAAUUCCCUCCAAACUGCAAGAAAAUUUUCCAGUUUGGUGGGAAAAUUGAACACUUCCAGAAACGGUGUUAUCUAUCUCCAUAUGCUGAUGCUCGAGGGCUUAAAGCAGGGUCACAGGAAUUUGAUAAGAGAGCAGUAGCAGUGAUGCAUGAGCUACUUAGCUUUACCAUUGAGAAGAGGGUGGUUACUGACCACCUUACCCACUUCCGUCAUGAACUUGUAAUGCCCCAGAAACUGAUGAGACUUCUUUUGAAGCAUUUUGGGAUUUUCUACGUCUCUGAGAGGGGAAAGAGAUUUAGCGUGUUCUUGACAGAAGCUUAUGAUGGUUCUGAGCUUAUUCAGAAGUGCCCCUUAGUUCUAUGGAGAGAAAAGGUCCAGUCCCUUAUUGGUUACAGAGGAAGACAGCAGAGAAUUGAAUCAUUUAGUGAUUUUUCAGAUAUGGAGGGUUAUGAUAAUCUGUUUGACAGUGACUUUAAAGGUAAUGCUAUUGCAGAGCUGGAGAGUGAGGAUACAAUUGCUGGGAUAGAGGACCUAUCUACUCCUGAUCAUGAGAUGGAAGUGAGAGAGAUCUACACCGCUUACACAGGAAGCUGAUCAGUGAAUUAUCAUGAGAUUAGAAGUGGAAGUCAUGACCAGCCCUUGCCAAUCUCCUCCAAAAUGGUACCACCAUGCAAAAGUAAAUGGAUGUUGAACAACCAAGGAUGGACAGAAUUAUCAGGUUUCAGACAUAGAAGACAAAUAUUGGAAAGGAAAAAAGCCCAUUGAAAUUAUUUGAUCUACGGGGUUAGGGGAACACCAAGAUGAAUCCAUUCAUGGCAUUCAACUAUACCUACAAAAAAGCCACAGCAAGACAUACAUGGAAGGGGACCGGCACCAUGAAAGACUUCCCAACAAUCAAAUGGAAGUAUCAACGUAUUCACUUUCAAGCCAGCAAAUACAACUGUGAGUUGUGCUCGCAGCCUGUUGUGCACUGAAGAACUGAAGAUUGAGGGUGUCAAACUAGCAUGACCAUUUGGAGUUAUAGGAGACCGAGCUUAUAACCUAGUUGACUUGCACCCUGGAUGAGAUAGUCGAGUAGCCCCUGAUGGUAACAUCAUCUUCGAAGAGAAGGACAGUAUUGACUUUUCUGCUGUUAUGAUCCAAGCCCCUAGGGAAUUUCAGGCAGUUCUGGAGCUAUAUCAUGGGGGUUUGUUUCUCUUAGGUCUCACCUGAAAAGGUGGUGUGAUUGGUUACAACCAUGUCUUUGCAUUGUGAGCCAGUGGAAGAGUGGAUGAGCUACAACUGGCGGAGGUGAACAUAGGUUUCUUCAUCCUUGAUGGGAAUGAUGUCUGAGCUUUUGCCAAAGAAGGGAGCCAGAGCAUGUAUCAUCUAUCAUGCUAAUCCUCUAUGAUCAUUGAAGUUAUUUGA